AUUAUACCUACUUGAACUCGCCAAUUCUGGAUAAUCCGUGUCCUAUUUAUAUAACUACUGUGCUCCAAAUAAAAUAUUUAGUUUUAUUGGCUUGAUAUUUAUUCCUUCUGUUAGUUUCGGUAUAAUGCUAUCUUGAAGAUAUUACCGAUUUACGUCAUGUGUAACCUCUUCCAAAGGGCGUUGAAUUAUUAACGACGAUAAUAAUUUUCAAAGUAUUUAAAUGAAUCUGCAAUUUAUCGCAUUGUUUAUAUUCAAGUUAAACAGAGAUAGUGUCGUUACUUAUUUAAUCACUGGGUUUGGCUUUCGGUACAGAAACUCCAAAAAAUUAUGGGGUAAUACCAUUGUUAUAAGUUGGACAGCAAUCAACACGGAGGAACACAAAAUACACAACAUAACGUAUGGAUAAUGUGAAAAAACUCAGCGAACAGAAAUGUAGUGACUAUAUAGCACGACCGUCUUGUUGCGAGUGACAGAUUAAAACAAACACAAAAUGGUGGUGGACCAUAGAGUGUUCCCAGCUUAAAAAAAUAUAUUUGAAUGUUUUUGUUGUAUUUGUCUUUGUUCAAAACAUAAUAAAUAUAUGCGAUC